GGGAGCGUAGCUCAGUGGUAGAGCAUCUCAUUUGCAUUGAGAAGGUCUGGGGUUCAAUCCCCCACGCUUCCA
rnacentral:tRNA from 1 species